UUUGGGGCAGUGACUGGUGUUUUCGGGUUGGUCGUACUAAGACGAGUCCGCAGACACGCGGUAGGCUUGAAUCGGAGUUGUAACGAAGAAAUAGUGAUCAAAAUACUUUCAGUGGCAAAACUGUAAAUAUUUCCAAAAGAGUUAGUAAAAAUCAUAUUUUUCACCCUCCUUCUCUCUCCUCGCGCGCACAGCUCUCUCUCCCUCUCCUUUCUCUCUCCCCGAAAUUGUCACUCUCCUUCUCUCUCUUUGAUUCUUGCCGCACCGUCCACAGAGGGACGUGAGACCGGUCCCGAUCGACUACUCUCGAAGCCCCGAACCCGAACCACCAGUUUUCCCCUCCGAAAAUCUCGAAUCUUGACCACGGUAUCGACUGGUUUUUCUUCAGUUUUUCCUGUCGUUGCGCCUCCGCCUCCCGAUCCCGGUGAAAAAGGUGAGGGUUCUUCCUCUUUUUACAUGCUCUAGCUGUGUAUGGGGUUGGAUUGGAUCGUUUUGCUGUCUAGAAUUCCGAUUUUGAAACCUUGGUUUUGGCCGAAUUUCAAAGUGAAAUUCUAGCUAGUUACUGUUCGAAUUAGACUUUUCCAUAGUUGAAUAAAGUGAUCCUUGUUUCGAGUAGUAGCUAGGGUAGGAAGGGUGGAUCAGGGUGUGGAGUUUUUCCGUCGCCAGAAAUUACUUUACACACCCACGCACUGCCGAUGCAUGUGGCGGUGCUUGGGCAAGGGUG
rnacentral:lncRNA from 1 species